UCCGUUAUGGUGUAGUGGCUAACAUUAUCGCCUCUCAUUUCGGCAGUGGAUGAGGUGUCGCGAUAGCCCAGGGUUCGAUUCCCUGUAACGGAA